rnacentral:rRNA from 1 species
ACUGAGAAGAUAGUGGCGGACGGGUGAGUAACACGUGGGUAACCUGCCCCGAUAAGAGGGGGAGUAACAUCCGGAAACGGGUGCUAAUACCGCAUAGUUUUCGUUAAUCGCAUGAUUGAGAAAGGAAAGACGGCCUUUGUGCUGUCGCUUAUGGAUGGACCCGCGGCGUAUUAGUUAGUUGGUGAGGUAACGGCUCACCAAGACGAUGAUACGUAGCCGACCUGAGAGGGUGAUCGGCCACAUUGGGACUGAGACACGGCCCAAACUCCUACGGGAGGCAGCAGUAGGGAAUCUUCCGCAAUGGACGAGAGUCUGACGGAGCAACGCCGCGUGAGUGAAGGUAAAGGUUUUCGGAUCGUAAAACUCUGUUGUCAGAGAAGAACAAGUCGGAGAGUAACUGCUCCGGCCUUGACGGUAUCUGACCAGAAAGCCACGGCUAACUACGUGCCAGCAGCCGC